GAGGUAGUAGGCAAGGUAUGCGAGAGAGUGGCAGCAGAAGCGGAGGCGGGCGGUUGGAUUUCGAAGCCUGAGGGUGUGGUGGCGGAUGAUGUUGAGAAAAGAGGUAACAUGCGUGCGGUGACAGAAUGCGGGUUGGAAGAGAGCGUGAGACAAGGUGAAUGCUGUGAGGCGUUGGGUUUGAAGGAGUCGAUGGAGUGCCAAGCGUCACCGAAAGUGCGUGGGUCAGUUGAGCACUGCGGCGGUGUGGAGGUGGGUGGUGAGGUCGGUGUGAGUGACGCUGGUUCGAGAUGGGCGAAGGAGGAUAUACUGCUGAGAGUGGAGAAAGUUGAGUAUGAGAUCGAGGAGGUCGAAAGGGAACUAGCGAAGGCGGAGAAGGUUGGGAGUGACAGGAGGGCAGCGGGUGAAUGGGUUGCGGGAGUGGUUGGUGAUGAGGGGAGUGCUGGCGUGGACGGUGUUGUGAAAGUGGAGGAUGGAAUUGAUGACGGUGAAGCUAUGGACGUGGAUGCAGCAGAGGUCCAUCCGGGAAGGGUUGACAGUCGAGAAAGUGGCGAGGCGAUGCAGGUUGCGUGUUCUGGUCGGAAUUGGUCAGGAGGAGAGGAAUGCGGAAAUGGGAGAUGGGGAAGCGACGGAGCUGGAGCAGCCGGGAAUGUUGGGGAGCGAGUCGGGGGCGGCGUGAGUGAGGGUGGACACGGAGGAUCGGUGGACGAUGGAGGAGUUCUGGAGGAAGGUGAGUUGGGUGAAGAGAAGCAAGAAGAGUGGACGUCGAAGCAGAUGAGUGUGGGAUUGGAGAGUGAGGGGAAUCCGGCAUACAGCCCUAGGGCAGAAACAGAGCCGGCACAGAGAGAGGAGAUGGAUGUGACAGCGGGUGUGUCAAAAUGUGGGGUUGCAGAGAAGGAGGAGGCAGAGAGAAAGGUGAUAUCGUGGGAUGUGGAGGUGGUUGCGAGAAGUUUGAUGGAGGAGAAUAAGAAGCGAGCCGAGCAGGCAAGGGAGACGUUUGUGCACCUUCUCAGGGAGGGUGUUGGCGUGGAAGGAACGUUGUACAGGUGUCCUGCGGAAGCAGGCGUAUGGAAGGAGAACGUGGAGAGGCACUAUCGGAACCAGGAGAGGAUGUUGGAGAAGAUGGGAGAGAGACGGCAGUCGUUGAGGUUUGCGGAGCAGGUAUUAGCGAUGAGGUUUCGAGCACUGAAAGAGGCGUGGAAGCAGGAGCAGGUGGGGAUGAGGCAACAGCAGAGAGGAACAAAGCCCGUGCGCAGAUGGGAGGUGGAGAAACGGAACGGGACUGCACUUCAUUGCCAUCGGUCAUCUCUGCGGUUGAGGCCCGUACAAGCAGGUAGUUUGGUGAUGUUGGAAGCAAGAGGAAUGGUCGAGGCUUGUGGUUGAGCAAUAGUUGAAACGAGGGGUGUGAUGGGAUGAUGUGACGGGCAGUGUGGAGCGUGGGUGGCAUGGAGGUGUGAGUGAGUGUUGGAAUGUGUUGCAGAGGCGGUAUGGAUGAUGGAAGGGUGAAGAGGUGACGGUAACAUGGGAGGGAGGGAAAGGAAUGAGAGGGUGGGUGUGUUGUGGGGAGGGAAGUGGGAGAUGGUGAGAAUUGACGGUGCGGUGGUUGUGGUGUCAGGUAUGGAGAAAGUGGAAGCUGUGUCGGAGGAAUGCAUGAAGAAGGUGAUGGCGAAGGCAGUGGUGGGGCCGGUGAGGGGCGUGUUGAAAAUGCCGAGCAUGAUUGUGGGGCAGGAGAACAGACUGGCGCGGAGGUUUGAGAGCAAGAACGCGCUGGUGGAGGAUCCUGUUGGGAUGGAGAGGGAGCGAAAGAGCAUGAAUCCAUGGUCUUGGGAAGAGAAGAGGGUAUUUCUGGAGAAGUUCGCGGUGUACAACAAGAACUUCAGCAAGAUCGCGUCGCAUUUGGAGUUGAAAACGACGGCGGAUUGUGUGGAGUUCUACUAUCGGAACCAGAAGUCGGAGGAUUUCGAGAGGAUAAGGCGGAGGCAGCAGCUGAAGAAGAGACGGGAUUAUUCUCGAGUGGGUGGAUCGUUUCUUUCGACGGGGCUGCAGACGAGCAGCCAGCGAAGAGAGGCAAAUGGGCAUGGGCGGACCGAAGGUGCGAACGUGCAGACAGUGGGAGCGGUGGUGGGAGUUUCUCACAUCAGCGUAGGUACGAAGGCCGCGAGGAGCAGCAUGCAGCAGAAGCCGGUGGAGCGUCAGCGGGUGAGCUCAGCGUUGGAACCCGGGAGCCUACCUGGAGCUGUUGAGAUAGGGAAGGGUGUGAGCGGAAAGGAAAACAAGUGGUGUGGGACAGGUGGAGUUUCAGGCAGUGCAGCGGGGCGUGGUGGGAUUUUUGGGAUGGUAUUAUCGGGGGCGACGGUGUCUUGUGGUUUGAGCUCCGCCGUGGCAGGUGCUGUAAAGAUCGGUCGGGAAAGAAGCUCGGUGAAGACGAUGGUUGACGCAGGAUUAGUAGUCGCCAGCUGCGGUCAAAUCGAACAGCACGUAUCUGCACCAAUGGUUACCGGCAACGGAUAUUUGCAAAUCUAUUUAGAGAAGUCUGCUGGGAAAGAGGUUGGACUAAGGGAUAUGCAUUGGAUUGCAUUUGACUGGGAGAGGAGAAUCCCGAUAUUGCCGAUUAUUGUUUGGAGCUGGGAUUGAGGAAUGCACGGUUGUUGGGAUCAUCGGGGGAGUUGGUUAGCUCUUCGAAGUUGCACGUUAUCUUGUCUAAUUGCUUGUUGUGCAUCGUACCAGUGGGAACACACGUGUAUUGGUGGUAGAAGCUGAAGGGUAGUUGUGGUUUGGUUGGAUGUGUGCAGGGUGAUGCGCAGUGGACAGACAGAGAAAGGGAGCUGUUUACGGAGGGUGUUAGGCUAUUUGGGAAGGACUUCGAGAGGAUUGCUGUGCAUGUUGGAACAACAAAGAGUGUGGGUCAGUGCAAGGCAUUUUUCUGCAAGACCCGGAAGCGUUUGGGGCUGGACAAGCUGGUGGAGAAGUAUGAGGAUUCAUUGAAGGUGAGGGUUGGAGCUGUUAUGGCGGAGAGUCCCGAAUGUGCAGAUGUUGGGCGUGGAGAAGCGGCGGGCGUUCUGGCGGAAGAUGUGCGGGUGUCAGGUCUUGCGGUGAGCGCGGGUCCUGGUAUGGAAGUGGAAAGUGACCAGGACAAGGGAGAUGAGAGUGAGAAGUCGGUAGAGGUUGUACUUCCUGUAGAUGUACAGGAGAUGGAAGCGGUGGAAGCUGAGGCAGGUGAGGGUGUGAGGGUGGAGGAGAUAGUUGUUGAGGAAGUAGCGGUGGAGUCUGAAGUUGUGGAGGUUGUACCUGUGUAUAACGGAGUUUUGGAGGAUGUACCUGUGCAUAACGGAGUUUUGAAGGAAGCACCUGUGGAUAACGGGGUUUUGGAGGAUGAAUUAGUUGAGACCCCGUCAGUCGUUUCCGAAUCAGUUUCUGAAGCAGUAGGGGCUUCUUGUAUUGUUUCCAUCUCGAAGCACGCGAUGAUGGAAAGUGGUGUUUGUUUGACACAGAGCUCAGUUAUUUUGGACAGUGUGAUGAAGGCAGUAUGCGAGGUGCCUGCAACUGUAGCUCAUUCAAUGGGGGAGUGUGGUGCAGAGGUGUCCGAGGACGAUAGAGUUGAGUUCGUUGCUGUUGAGAAGGAAACAUUUGCGGAGGCUGUGGAAGUCGUUGUGGCUAAGGAUGGGAAUACCGGUAAUAAUUCAACAGACUUGGCAAUUGGUUAUGUAGUUGAGGAGGAUGCAGCGGUGAUUCGUAAGGAUGCUGAAAGUGAUAUGGAGUCUUGCAAGUGUGAGCCAGAUACUGGCCUUGUCAAGGCUGUCGGUAUGUUAGCCAAAAUCAGUACUCUGGCAGCGGAUGAGCAGGAAGCGAAGGCAGUUCCUACGGUUGACGUGAAGGCUGAUCCAGAGUCACCUCAAGUGGCAACAUCUUUAAGCACAGAUUCAGCAUCUUUUCCUUCACUGCCAGCCGCUGUGAGUCAUUCUGGUGGGUCUGUGUUCUCAAAUUCGUCGACGCAAGGUAGUCAACAAGGUCGUGAGAGGGUGGGAAGGGUUGGAGGCGGUGAAACCAAGUCGAGGAGAGAGCCGACUUCUUGGACUCAAGAGGAGAAAGAGAAGUUCGCGGACAUCAUACGGAACCAUGGGAAGGAUUGGACUAGGCUGCACGAAUGUUUGCCCUCGAAGUCUUUAACGCAGAUCAAAACAUACUUUCAGAACUCGAAGGCAAAACUGGGUCUUCUGAAUGCAGAGGGUGUGAAUAUUCUGGGAGGCAGGGUAGCCGGAAGUCGGAAGAGGAAAGUUGAUGAAGCAGAAGACGGCAGCAACAACGUGGCUUGUUUGAGCUCAGGGAAUGAGUUGAAGGGAGGCGGUGUUUCUGCUCGCGACAUGGAUGGCGUUUGUCAGAAUGUGAAAGCAGCGGUGGGCGGGGUUCCAAGCAUGGGGAUGGGUAGUGGUCCAUCGGGGUUGGAGAGCAUGCUGUACCCAAUUUUCGGUCAGCGAGUGGAAGAUCAAAUAGCAUUGGAGAAAUUUAUGCGGAUGUAUAGUGCGAACGGGUUAGCACAGAAUAUUGCGGGUGGGGUAAACCCGUUUGUGCAGCA
rnacentral:lncRNA from 1 species